rnacentral:lncRNA from 1 species
AAAAGGGCACGGGGCAGAGGGACUAUGUUGUGAGCCUGCGAAAGAAGUUUGUGUGGGGACUGUGGGCAGUGAACGCGUUGGGAACAAUAUGGAAAACUGGGAGCCGCCUUGGAAUCUACAGGGCCGGGCUGAAGAAAAGAAGAAUGGUAUUCACGCAGUUCCCAUUUUACAGAUGAAAACAAGAGGACUUUUUCUGUGAAGUCAAGAAAGUGGUUACAAUGGUACUUUCAGCCUGUCCGAAUUAUGUAUUGCCCCUCCCCUUUUUAUUAAUAACAUUGAAGUGUGAUGGGACAACCACUGAAGCCGUCAGUUGAAACCUGCUGGGACUUUUUAGCCAUUCUCUUCAACAUAAAGAAUGGGUGUUUUUGGAGGGGGUGAGAGGAAUGGGGAAAUGUUGUCAAAGAGUACAACGUUUUAGUUGAGACAGGAAGAAUAUAUUUUGUUGAGAUCUACAGCACAGCAUGGUGACUGUAGUUAACAAUGAAGUAUUGUCUAUUUCCAAAUUGCUAAGACAAUAAAUUUCAAAUGUUCUCACCACAAAAAA